UAACAGAACUGUGGGGACACAGGCAGAGAGCGUGAGCCGGGAAUGGAAAGACCGGUACAAGCGAGGUAGGAGUCUGGUUGGCAAAUCCGCCAGGCAAUCCGAAGACGUGAUGUGGACUGAAAAUAAGUAGGGAAGCACGUGAGCUGACUGUCAAGAAAAGCCGCUAUUGUUGCAGGAUACCCGUACCGUAAACCGACACAGGUGGAUGAGGAGAGAAUCCUAAGGCCGACGGGAGAAGCAUUGUUAAGGAACUCGGCAAAAUGACUCCGUAACUUCGGGAGAAGGAGUGCCAGUAAGAUGGCCGCAGAGAAUUGGCCCAAGCAACUGUUUAGCAAAAACACAGGUCUAUGCAAAACCGAAAGGUGAGGUAUAUGGGCUGACGCCUGCCCGGUGCUGGAAGGUUAAGGGGAGAGGUUAGCGCAAGCGAAGCUUUGAACUUAAGCCCCAGUAAACGGCGGCCGUAACUAUAACGGUCCUAAGGUAGCGAAAUUCCUUGUCGGGUAAGUUCCGACCCGCACGAAAGGCGUAAUGAUUUGGGCACUGUCUCAACAAUGCACCCGGUGAAAUUGAAAUACCAGUGAAGAUGCUGGUUACCUGCGCCAGGACGGAAAACCCCAUGGAGCUUUACUCCAGCUUGAUACUGGGAUUCGGUAUUGCAUGUACAGGAUAGGUGGGAGGCUAAGAAAUGGUAACGCCAGUUGCCAUGGAGCCACUGUUGGGAUACCACCCUUGCAGUACUGGGUUUCUAACCAGCAGCCGUGAUCCGGCUGGGGGACAAUGUCAGGUGGGGAGUUUGACUGGGGCGGUCGCCUCCGAAAGGGUAUCGGAGGCGCUCAAAGGUUCCCUCAGAAUGGUUGGAAACCAUUCGAAGAGUGCAAAGGCAGAAGGGAGCUUGACUGCGACACCGACGGGUGGAGCAGGUACGAAAGUAGGACUUAGUGAUCCGGUGGUAUAAAGUGGGAUUGCCAUCGCUCAACGGAUAAAAGCUACCCUGGGAUAACAGGCUUAUCACUCCCAAGAGUUCACAUCGACGGAGUGGUUUGGCACCUCGAUGUCGGCUCAUCGCAUCCUGGGGCUGAAGUAGGUCCCAAGGGUUGGGCUGUUCGCCCAUUAAAGCGGUACGCGAGCUGGGUUCAGAACGUCGUGAGACAGUUCGGUCCCUAUCCGGCGUGGGCGUAAGAUAUUUGAGAGGAGCUGUCCUUAGUACGAGAGGACCGGGAUGGACUGGCCGCUGGUGUAUCUGUUGUCUUACCAAAGGCAUAGCAGAGUAGCCAAGCCGGGAAGGGAUAAACGCUGAAGGCAUCUAAGCGUGAAGCCCCCCUCAAGUUGAGAUAUCUC
rnacentral:rRNA from 1 species